rnacentral:rRNA from 1 species
CAGCAGCCACGGGAAUACGUAGGGUGCGAGCGUUAAUCGGAAUUACUGGGCGUAAAGCGUGCGCAGGCGGUUGUGUAAGACAGGUGUGAAAUCCCCGGGCUUAACCUGGGAACUGCGCUUGUGACUGCACAGCUAGAGUAUGGCAGAGGGGGGUGGAAUUCCACGUGUAGCAGUGAAAUGCGUAGAGAUGUGGAGGAACACCGAUGGCGAAGGCAGCCCCCUGGGCCAAUACUGACGCUCAUGCACGAAAGCGUGGGGAACAAACAGGAUUAGAUACCCCUGUAGUCCCUGUCUCUUAUAC